rfam:Oryza meridionalis cultivar OR44 (W2112) chromosome 3, whole genome shotgun sequence.
GCAAAAUCCAUUACUCAGUUUUCGUGCCCAAUUUUAAUUGUCCGUCUUAUUUGAAAUUUUUUUUAUAAUUAGUAUUUUUAUUGUUAUGAGAUGAUAGAACACAGAUAGUACUUUACUCAUGACUUAUGUUUUUAAACUUUUUUUUAAAAAAAUUUCAAAUAAAGGUGAACGGUCAAAAUUGGACGCGGAAAACUAUGAUUAUACUUAAA